rnacentral:lncRNA from 1 species
AGGGCGCUCUUGAUUCAUUAAUAGAGUAAAGACCUCCUUGCUUAGCUUUCAUGACGGUUUAUUAAAUCAGCUACAAUCAGUUGUGACGAAGGAGGAGAGGAUGAACACUAAUUUUGUAAAAAACAUAUUCGUAUAAAUUUAUGAGGAAACGGGGCAUAGACUUAAUGAAUUGUCAUUUUGUACCCCAAAUGUUGGUGGUUUUUUCGGGUACCGCCGAUACUUAAGUAACUACUAUGAGUACCUCAGCCCCCCGCCAAUUGUACCCUGAAUGUUGGAGGUUCGGAUACUGUCGGCUUCCAAAACGGGAUGCAACAAGCUGGUAAUAAUUGAAGAAACCACCAAGAGCCCCUUACAGCCUCCCAAUUAUAACUCGAAUGUUGAAGUUGUUUAUGGGUACUGCCAGGUCCCAAAACAGGAUGCAACCUACUCCCGAUACUUAAAAAGAAAAAGCGUAAGGAAAUUAAAUAAAAGAGAAAAUAUGGAUGAAAUUGGAACGGUUUCAUCGGUUUAAUGUUCACAUCAGUGUGAUUUACUCACAAGUUCGAACCAUAUCUUUAUAAGGCUUUUACUCAUAGAGAUAAAAAAUAUACUGUUUACUUGAGGAAAACAUUGAAAGGAGAUACAGCUGAUGAAUACAAACAACAAAAGGAUCAAAACAUUCAAAUAUUAUAUAGUAAAUAGCCGUUUUGUCUCACUUAGUAUUGUGAUUUUAGGGGCCUAAUGGAUAAUAAGCAUACUCAACAUAGUUCAAAUUUUCCUCUUUUUUCUUAUUAAAACGGCAAGUAAAAAUAUAAAAUCUGGAAACUGCGAAAUAGUUCAUUGCUAGUUUUAUAAUAAUUCAUCAAUCUCAAUUUUAACUCUUAGGAAGGAGUAUGAUCUCUUAAAGGAAUGCCCACGAUUGGUGUUUAAAUUCGCCUUUAAUUGCAUGUAGCCUAUAACAACAUUAUGAAGAACAUUUUCAUAAUUGAUUUUUUCUUAUAAAUUCUUAAUACUCUCGUUUGUUCUCGUAAAUACUUAUUUUAAUAAAAAAUGUUUUAGAAUAUCUAAGACAACAUGUAAUCAAUCAAGUAUCAUUUAUUCUACAAAAUACUAAAUAAUAAUCACAUUAAGUCUUUCAA